UACAGAGGUCCCAAGCGUUGUUCGGAUUCACUGGGCGUAAAGGGUGCGCAGGUGGGUUGGCAAGUUCGAUGUGAAAGCCCCGGGCUUAACCCGGGAAUGGCAUUGGAAACUGCUGAUCUGGAGGAUCGGAGGGGGGACUGGAAUUCUUGGUGUAGCAGUGAAAUGCGUAGAUAUCAAGAGGAACACCAGUGGCGAAGGCGAGUCCCUGGACGAUACCUGACACUGAGGCACGAAAGCCAGGGGAGCGAACGGG
rnacentral:rRNA from 1 species